rnacentral:rRNA from 1 species
GAACGAACGCUGGCGGCAGGCCUAACACAUGCAAGUCGAGCGCGCCCUUCGGGGUGAGCGGCGGACGGGUGAGUAACGCGUGGGAACGUGCCCUUUUCUACGGAAUAGCCUCGGGAAACUGAGAGUAAUACCGUAUACGCCCUUUGGGGGAAAGAUUUAUCGGAAAAGGAUCGGCCCGCGUUGGAUUAGGUAGUUGGUGGGGUAAUGGCCUACCAAGCCGACGAUCCAUAGCUGGUUUGAGAGGAUGAUCAGCCACACUGGGACUGAGACACGGCCCAGACUCCUACGGGAGGCAGCAGUGGGGAAUCUUAGACAAUGGGGGCAACCCUGAUCUAGCCAUGCCGCGUGAGUGAUGAAGGCCUUAGGGUUGUAAAGCUCUUUCAGCUGGGAAGAUAAUGACGGUACCAGCAGAAGAAGCCCCGGCUAACUCCGUG